rnacentral:rRNA from 1 species
AGAGUUUGAUCCUGGCUCAGAGUGAACGCUGGCGGCGUGGAUUAGGCAUGCAAGUCGAGCGAUAUUUUAGGUAGAGAGGUAAAAGCCUGCAAAGGUGGAUGCCAAUUUACCUGAUUUAUAGCGGCAGACUGGUGAGUAACGCGUGAGUAAUUUACCUCUAAGCCGUGGAUAGCCUUGCGAAAGCAAGGGUAAAACACGAUGUGUUUACGAAGACACAAGUCUUUGUAUGUAAAAGUGGCUCGCAAGRGCUAUUGYUUAGAGAUGAGCUCGCGUCCUAUCAGCUAGUUGGUAGGGUAAURGCCUACCAAGGCUUUUGACGGGUAGCUGGCCUGAGAGGGUGGUCAGCCACACGGGGACUGAGACACUGCCCCGACUCCUACGGGAGGCUGCAGUCGAGGAUCUUUAGCAAUGGGSGAAASCCUGACUAUGCGACGCCGCGUGAGGGAUGAAGGUUUUCGGAUCGUAAACCUCUUUCGAUGGGGAAGAAGCUCCUCGGCAAUAAUACUGCCGAGGGUUGACGGUACCUAGAGAAGAAGCCACGGCCAACUCCGUGCCAGCAGCCGCGGUAAUACGGGGGUGGCGAGCGUUACUCGGAUUCAUUGGGUGUAAAGGACAGGUAGGCGGCUAUGUAAGUUGGAGGUGAAAUCCUGCGGCUCAACCGCAGAACUGCCUUCAAAACUGCAUGGCUUGAGGCUAGAAGAGGAGAGYGGAAUUCCCGGUGUAAGGGUGAAAUCUGUAGAUAUCGGGAGGAACACCAGUGGCGAAGGCGGCUCUCUGGUCUAGCCCUGACGCUGAUCUGUGAAAGCUAGGGGAGCAAACAGGAUUAGAUACCCUGGUAGUCC